GUAACCUUCUAGAAUCCCAGCAUCUUUAGGCAGGUAGACAGGUUAGCCUAGUUUAUGACUCUCACGUGCAGUAUGGUCAGUAGGGAAGCAAAUUGUCCUGUUUGUGGCACCCAGGGCCAUUCUGGUUUUAGUGUUGACAGUCCAGCAUCCUAGGAAAAUCUUCGUCUCAGGAAAACCAGGGCAACUGGUCACCCUAGCAAUCAGCCAAAGUGAAAUAAAGAAUGUCUACAAGCUGAGGUCGACCACAGGUUAAGGCAAAAUGAUUUGAUGCCCUUAAUGUUGGCACAAAGCAGUUUUCUUUCUUUGUAUCUACACACAGAGCGUCCUUUUAGACCUGCCAAAAUGCUAAAGUAAUUAUGUUCCCUCUUUGUUGUAGCUUGAAAAUAUUCACAGAAGUCCUGGAGCCUGCUUUCUUCCAGCCGACUGACUACUUAGUGAAGCAUUCCUUGCUUAGCUGCUUCAAUCUUCCCUCUUUUCAUCAUUUUAGCUGAUCUCUUCUGAACCUCUGCCAAUUUAUCUGCAUCUUCUUGAUACCAUGGCACUCUGGAUUGAACACCAAGCGCAUUUAUGUAGGCUUUCACCUCCUCGUCUCAUUAUAUGCCCCAGGCAGCAAAUGCAGCAAAACCAUGGAAUGUUCCAUGUACUCCAGAAAUUAGAAGUUCCUUCAAUGCAUGAGGUCGUGAACUCUGGCACAAAUGUAGGCGUGUCUUUGGGUCUCCUUCCUAGCACCAGUGACAUAGCAGGAAUCUAUCAAAAUUUAUAAAAUAAAUUUUGGCACGCUAUAAAAUAAUUAUUAGCA
rnacentral:lncRNA from 1 species